rnacentral:rRNA from 1 species
UACGUAGGGUGCAAGCGUUAAUCGGAAUUACUGGGCGUAAAGCGUGCGCAGGCGGUUAUGUAAGACAGAUGUGAAAUCCCCGGGCUCAACCUGGGAAUUGCAUUUGUGACUGCACGGCUAGAGUGUGUCAGAGGGGGGGUAGAAUUCCACGUGUAGCAGUGAAAUGCGUAGAGAUGUGGAGGAAUACCGAUGGCGAAGGCAGCCCCCUGGGAUAACACUGACGCUCAUGCACGAAAGCGUGGAGGAACAAG